UUCGGAGGGUGCGAGCGUUAUCCGGAAUCAUUGGGUUUAAAGGGUCCGUAGGCGGGACAUUCAGUCAGGGGUGAAAUGUUGCAGCUCAACUGCAGAAUGGCCUUUGAUACUGGUGUUCUUGAGUUAUGUUGCUGUGGACGGAACAUGUGGUGUAGCGGUGAAAUGCAUAGAUAUCACAUAGAACGCCGAUUGCGAAGGCAGGUCACAAAGCAUAUACUGACGCUGAGGGACGAAAGCGUGGGGAGCGAACGGG
rnacentral:rRNA from 1 species